rnacentral:rRNA from 1 species
GUGCAGCAGGCGAGAAUAGUCUACAAUGGACGAAAGUCUGAUAGUGCGACGCCGUGUGUGCGAUUAAUUCCUUCGGGAUGUAAAGCACUUUUCUAUGAGAUAAAAGCUCUUUAGGUUAAUAGCUUAUUGAGACGGAUAUUAUUAUAGGAAUAAGCUCCGGCUAACUCCGUGCCAGCAGCCGCGGUAAUACGGAAGGAGCGAGCGUUGUCCGGAUUUACUAGGCGUAAAGGGCUAGUAGGCGACUAAUUAAGUUAUAUGUUAAAUCCCACGGCUCAACUGUGGUCCUGCAUGUAAUACUGGUUAGAUAGAGUACUGUAGAGGAAGGCAGAAUUCCUGGAGUAGCGGUGGAAUGCGCAGAUAUCAGGAAGAAUACCAAAAGGCGAAGGCAGCCUUCUGGGCAGUUACUGACGCUGAAUAGCGAAGGUGUGGGUAGCGAACAGGAUUA